rnacentral:rRNA from 1 species
GAUGAACGCUGGCGGCGUGCCUAAUACAUGCAAGUCGAGCGAACGGACGAGAAUCUUGCUUCUCUGAUGUUAGCGGCGGACGGGUGAGUAACACGUGGAUAACCUACCUAUAAGACUGGGAUAACUUCGGGAAACCGGAGCUAAUACCGGAUAAUAUUUUGAACCGCAUGGUUCAAAAGUGAAAGACGGUCCUGCUGUCACUUAUAGAUGGAUCCGCGCUGCAUUAGCUAGUUGGUAAGGUAACGGCUUACCAAGGCAACGAUGCAUAGCCGACCUGAGAGGGUGAUCGGCCACACUGGAACUGAGACACGGUCCAGACUCCUACGGGAGGCAGCAGUAGGGAAUCUUCCGCAAUGGGCGAAAGCCUGACGGAGCAACGCCGCGUGAGUGAUGAAGGUCUUCGGAUCGUAAAACUCUGUUAGUAGGGAAGAACAUAUGUGUAAGUAACUGUGCACAUCUUGACGGUACCUAAUCAGAAAGCCCCGGCUAACUACGUG